rnacentral:lncRNA from 1 species
CUAAAUUAGAAAUUUUUUAUUGGAAGGUGUAGUCAACCAAUUUUGCCCGGGCCCAUUUAAUUUAUUUGCAAAUAAUAAACCCGAAUAAAUAAAUAAAAUCCAAAGACUAAAUAGUCCAGUAAAGUCCCUUUACAAUUUUCAAAAUGCAUGUACCAAAAUAACUCAUGACCCAACAAAUUUUAAAACCCAAUUCUAUAAACCCAGGCCCUAAAUCUAGCCCAAACCCGAAAAAGCCCAAAAAGGAAAAGUAUUCCAGCAGCCAAGCACCAGAAGCUUCUGGAACGUGCCAGAACAGUGCCAGGGAGUUGGGUUUCACGAGCGGAUUCCUCGCACAGUUUCGUUCAAGCGUGCUUCUCCCCGUUUCUCCGUACGGCCAUUGCUCCAUACCUGCAAAAGAAUGUACGAGAAGAAGCAGCAACAGAAUGUACAGCCAAAUGACAGAGGGAAAAUGUAUUUUUAUUUUUCAUUUAUUCUGUAAAUUUGGGCUAUAAAAGCCAUUAUUUGUACCUUGAUUUUUUACACACACACACAGAAUAUACUAUACGCAUACAAUAUCUGUACACACGCACAGAGAAGAGAGAAGCGAUUUAAGAUCAAUAGAGGUGAUUUCAUUUUUUUUCUCUUCCGAUUUUUUUUCGUUUUUUCUAUUCUCUUUAUUUUCUUAUUUGUUUGCUUAUUUUUUAUGCAACUUAAGGCCGACGAAAGCUCUAAAUCUGCCAUGCGAAUAUAAGGGCGAGAGGUCACAUAAUAGUGGAAAUCUAUUCAUUUUACAAAUCUGUCUUCAUUUUUUUUCUUUAAAAAAUAACAUGAGAUUUGAAAGCUCCAUUCAAAUAAAGAAGAAAGAAGGGAAAAUACUUAUCGAAUCCUUUUAGAUCAGGUCGAGCUCCUUUAACGGCAAGAUUGGGCAUGUCUCGCUUACUAGUAAUCACCUAAAAGCAUGGUGGUUUGGUAGUCAAGUGAAGAAAACCCUAAAAAAAUUGAUUUUAAAGGCUGGAAUUUCUUUUGAUCUAAGUGGGGGUUGUGUUUGAGGAAUGAAACAGAAGAGGAUAGGUCUUAAAUGACUAGGUGACUAUGCGGCGCCGUUUCAAAGCGCAAAGGCCCGCGCGUCAACCCGUUUUGGUAGGCCGGGUAUGCGCAUGGUUGGGGUGAAUGGGGAAAUUGCGUGACGGAUCCCUCCCCUUUGCGCGCAGUCCUCAAUUUUCGCCUGAUUCGCCUAUUUUAUGUUUUAAAAUUGGCCCGUUAGUUCGUAUAUGGUUUCAAUUGGAUUCGUGGUUUAUUGCUGCAUUGUGAGCAUGGGAUAUUUUCAAUACUAGUCCUCACAUGUUUGUGCGCAUGGCACAUUGAUUCUAUUUUGUAAUUAUUUUAUUUGCAAAUUGUUUCUCCUGUUUUAAUUUUGCUUCAAUUAAGUAUUAUUCUCAUUUUACUGCAUAUAUAUUUUUUAUAUGAUUGAUUAUUGGUUAAGAUAUUUCAUAUGGUUUUGAUAAUUGAACUCUCCUUUAAAAAAGGGUUAUUUUAAUCUUAUUUUCUCUUUAUUUCAAUCAUUUUUAUUAGUUGAUGUUUAUUUAUUUUAUUCUAGUUUAUAUAUAUCAUUGAUUUCAUGUUAUUUUGUAAUUUUUUUUGAUGUUUUUAAAAAUGCAUUUGUUUAUGUGUCAUUUACAUUAUUAUUAAACACAUGUUUUGUACUUAUAUUUAAUUUGCAUCUGUUAUUAAAGCUUUGAUAUUCUUAUACAUAUAGAUUUUAAUAAACAUGUAAUUAAUUGCGUUUUUUAUUUAUUAUGUAUAUAACUUAUGAUAAAACUAGGUUAAUAUUAUAAUUCAUAUUUUAAUUAAAUGAUAUUUUGACAUACAAUUAUUUCUAACAUUUCUUUACAUGUAUAUGGUACAUAUUAAAUUAUUUUUACUAUGGUACAUGUUAUUAUUUUCAUAUAACUUUAUAUAAAUAUUUUUCUAUAUGUAUAUAUCCUCUUUUAAAAUUAUUUAUGUGUAUAAUAUUUUUAGGAACCCUAUUUUAAAUCAUAUAAUUUAUUGUAUCUCAUAUUAUCCUUAUGUUUUUUUAUAUAUAUUUUACUACUUAUAUAACUUAUAUAUUUACUUCAUUUUUUUCAUACAAUAUUAAUUUCAUUUUUACAAAUAAUUAUACCCAAUUUUUACUUGUAUAUACAAGUUUCAUAAAUCUAUUUUGUACAUUACUUUAUAUCAUGUAUUGUUAUUCCUUCAUAUUUCAUAUAUUAUUUAAAUUAUCUUGUGAAUUAUCAAUUUUUGAAUAGAUUUGUGUUUUAAAUAUUUUGUAUAUAAUUUGAUUUGAACUUUGAAAUUUAUAAUAACCAUUUCAAUAAAUAUAUACCCCAAGUUUUACGCAAAUGUAUCAACUUAUAUAUAUUAUAUGAUCAUUAAUUCUGCAUUUUGUUUCAUACAUAUUUUUGUACAUCAUUUUAUUUUAUGUUAUGAUCAUGUGUAUUAUUUUUAUAUUAAUUAUUCAUUAUCCAUGCUUAAAGAAUUUUUUGUUACAUUAUACCUAGAAUGAUUGUUAGAUGUACUAAGCAAGGUUUAUUGUAUUUUGAGUAUAUUAUUUCAUAUUUAUUAUUUUUUUACAAUGCAUUAAAUAUUUCAUCAAUUUUAAAAUGAAUAAACAUGUUUUUAAGCAAAUUUCUAAGUUUUUGUUAUUCAAAAAUUCUGAAAUAAGGCAAUAUCUAGUGUUUGGGAAAUUUGGAAAAUCGUGCUCAAUCGUACUGGGUAUGACUUUUCCGGUGAACCAAAUAUUUGGAUAACCCCUUUUAUAAUUUUUAAUUUUUUCAAAAGUCGAAAAUCGAUCGCAUCUUAAAGGUAUAAGGGAUCGUAUCCAAUCGUACUGGGUAUGAAACCGCAUAUCUUUGGAACGAGAGAUUUUUGACCACUAAUUUGAGCUAUUCAAACAUUUUUUUAUAUACUUCGGAAAAUCUUUUCUUUUAAAACUUUUUAAGGACAGCAUCAAAUCAAUUUGGUACCAGUUUUUGGGCGUAAUGAGGGUGCUAACCCUUCCUCAUGCGUAACCGACUCCCAAACCCAAUUUUUUUUAUAUUUUACCUAAACCAAAUUUAGUUUUCAUUGAAUAAAGCGUUUUAAUAGGUGGUCCAAUCACACCUAAAUCCAGAGAUUGGUGGCGACUCCGCACUCGAUUUUAAAAGUCGAUCCCCAUUGUUUUCUAAAUAAAAAAGGGUUUCGACAGCUUGGCGACUCUACUGGGGACUGAACAAAGAGAGCCAGGCCAUAAAAUUGAUUGUUUGCUGUCUUUUUAAUUGAAAAUUUGUUUUAGUAUGAUUCUUUUAAUUGCAUUUGCCUGUGUGAUGGUUGUGUUUCGAGUCCUGUCUAAUAAAUAUGGCAUUACAUUGCAUGACCGUUGUAGUUAUACCUAUUAAGUGAGAGUAAGAAACUAUGCUUUCAUGAGGUUUUCACCUUCGUAUGGGCUAGUGGAUUGCUUUCGGAUACAUCUGUACCUAUGAUUCUGUGAGAUUUUCAUCUCCGCAUGGUCAUAGGGAAAUGUAUUCCCCUGAACCGAACUCGAUCUAUAUGAGCCUAUAAUGGGUGAGGAUUGAGGAAUCUGCUGGUUCAGGUACCUUUACUCUAGAACCAAACUUCAUAUAGUGAACCUUAAGAACUAUCCUUAGGUAGAGCCACGUCGAACCUUAGUCAUUACCUAUUUGUGUGUUAUGAUUAUCUUUGUUGUUAUGCUUGUAUUUUAUUACUCGUAUUUGAUACUAACCUGUGCUUUGUUUUGGUUGUGUUUUGCAUGACAUUGCAUACUAAAGAAGGUGUUGGUUCGUAUUCGAUUGCUAAGUUAGAAAGUUUAACAUGAAGAAUGUGUAACAUUCCAAAAUAGGGCCUAAACGGAACAGUGGUUGCGAAACCACAAAUCUGAGGUAGAAAAAAAUUUAUUUUAUUAUUAUUUUGAGGUUCAUGGUAUGAUUACAUGAUUGUGCGAAAAUUUCGUGAUAAAAUUCUAUGCAUAAAGUGCUUAAGUUGAGGUUAGGGACUAAAUCGAAUAAUUUGCAAAACUUGCAUUCUAGAAGUUUUUAGUAUGAAAUUAUUUUGGAAUAUUAAUUAGGAGAUCUUAAAUGGUAAUUUGACCAAUUUUAAGUUCAUGGACAAAAUUAGGACAUGGAAGGAAUUUUUGAAAGUUUAGUAAGGAGGGGUAUUUUGGUCAUUUGGUUAUUAACACUAAUAAAAAGGUAAAAAGAUGAUAAAAUUGUAUCAUCUUCUUCAAUUUACCAGCCGAACCUUACCUCUCUCCAUAGCUGGGGUUUCUUCAACUUUCAAGCUUUAUAGUAAGUGAUUCCAAGCCCCGUUUUUAAUGAUCUUUACGUUUUUUAAGUCCUGGUAGCUCGAUAAAGCUUAUGCUAGCAAUAAUUUAAGUUAGGAAUCAAAUUUGGAAAAAUACCCAUAGGUGAAAUUUGUGUAUUUUGAUGUUUUAUGAUGGAAUAUGAGGCUUUAAAUUAUGUUAGACAACUUGUGCUACUUGGUUUUAAGUGAAAACGAGUAAAAAGGCUUAAUCGGUAAAAAUACCUAAUAGUCAUAAGUACAUAUUAGUGUGUGAAUUUGAUGUUGUCAUAGAAGGGAAAAAUGAUCAGUAUGUCAUAAAACAUAAGAAAAUGGGAUGAAGUUUAAUUUACGAGCCUUGGGGCAAAAGUGCAAAUAUGUGAAAGUUUAGGGGCAAAAAUGUGAUUUUGCCAAAGUUUGAGUAAAGGGUUGUUUUGAUAAAUGUUGAUAUUAAAUAAGCUAAAUUUUCUAUUAUAGAUCAAGAAGAGCGAAAUUCGGGAGUAGAUCGGGGAAAAGAAAAAGUAAAGGACUAAAUUGUAAACUUUAGUCACAUUUUGUAUCGAGGUAAGUUUACAGUAAAUAAAUGCAAUAUUCUUUUAUUUUACAUUAUUAUUGUCAAUUUCCAGCAUUUAUAUAUUUAUGUUAUGAAAAUAUUUAAAGUCGAAUUUAAGGUGAAGUGAUAGAGGAAAAGUGUUAGAAAGCCCCGGUUGAACCCUAGGAAUGUUAGGAUAUUAGGGUUGACAGGACAGAACAGAAAUGAGCCAUGUAAGUCCAUAUUAGAAAUAUGGCUUUGGAGACAGGAUUGAGCCAUGUAAGUCCAUAUUAUAUAUGGCAUUGGAGACAGGAAUAAUUCAUGUAAGUCCAUGUCAAAGACAUGGCAUUGGCAGGGUAUUGAUAGACAGGAAUGACCCUAGUAUCCUUAGUAUUCCGAGUGGUUCAACGGGUCAGAAUACGAGUUAAAUUACAGUGAAUUAACAGCAAAGGAAAAUUAGAUUAUAUUUAUGAAAAAGGAAAGGUCGGGUAAGAAAGAAGGUAAGGGAAUAAAGAAGAAGAUAGAAAUUGAGAAGUAAAGAAAUUUAUGAUGUUAGAUGAUAUUAUGCAUAAUUAUCCAUUAUGUUGAAUGUUGUGAUUUAUUUGCUUGUAAGCUUACUAAGCCUAGUGCUUAAUCUCUUUAUUUUCUUCUUCUUAUAGUACUUAUCUAGCCACUCGGGGAUCGAAGGAAACGUCGGAGGCCGAUCACACUAUCAAAGAAAUAACUCGGUAUAAUUAGACGUUUUGUUUUGUGUAUGGCAUGUAUAGAAACUUAGCUACUUUUGGUAUAAUAUGAACAAUGAAUGAUGUGUAAAUACUUGCUAGUGAUUAGCUAAUAAAAAUGGCUGAUGAUAUGCAUGUUUAUUAAUAUGUAUGAUUGAAUGGUGAUUAUCACAUGAAAAUUAUGAAAAAUGUGAAAGUAACCUAAAAACAGAUUCAAGUAACAGAAAUGACGUAACUUUGAAAAAUCACUAAAAAUUGUAGAAACAUAGUUUGAUGAUGAAUAAUAUAUUAAAUUAAAGCUUAUUAUGUCUAUUUUCCUAUGGAAUAAGAAAAACAGGUAAAGGUAUUAUAUUAUAUGAUAUAUCUAAGUUUUAGUGAAACAGGAUCAGAGCGAUUUCUGGAUCCCCUAUUUCAACUUUGUAAAUUCACCAUAAAUUGUAAAAAACUAAUUAGAAGGUUUACUUUAUAUGGUUAUAAUCCUUGUUGAGUCUAGUUUUAAGAGAAACAAAUGGCUUAGUGAUAUGAAUUUUGUACAGGAAGAAACAUGGUUCGUAGCAAGAAGAGGUUAGUGCAGUCGAGUUUUGAAACAAGGGAAACUUUAACUAAUAAACUGUACUAAUUGGACAAGUCAAAAAUCUAUGAAAAAAAUUAGUGGAUAGAUAUAUGAGUCUAGUUUCAGGAAAAAUUUACGGAUCUUAAUUUUGAGUUUUGGAACUCAAGAUAUGAAUUUUUAGGCGACUACGACGCAGAAUGGAAGCACAUUCCGAAAAGCUUAAAUAAACAAUUUAAAACUAUUUAAGUGAUAGAUUAAGUUUAGUAAUGCCUCGUGCUCAAUUCUGGAAACAGUCUCGGCUAAGGAGUGUUACAGAAUGAAUUUAUUAGUAAAGUUGAGGAUAAUGCGGCCGUCCGUGCAUGGUCAGAGAAGUUGCAAAACGAGAAAGGGGAUAGCCUGACAGAAGGAUAUACAUCAGAGUUGCAGAACUUUACUCACAUCAUUGUAACACAGAAUGAGCUGGAGGAGUUGAAGGACAUAUGGACUAGUUGGGAUGAAGGCACUAAACAGUUGUUCUACCAGAGUUAUGGUGAUAUACCGUACUUGCUCGAUGUUAAGGUGGAUAAACGUUUGUUCUGAGGUAUGACUCAAUUUUGGAAUGCUGCUUAUAAUUGUUUCACAUUUGGAGAAGUAGAUUUGGUUCCUACUUUAGAAGAAUACACUACUUUUUUUAAGAGUCCAAAGGCUCAAGCCAGGAUGAUUUAUGCUAAGCUUACUAAUAGUCCAACUUUUGCGAAGAGGUUGGUGAAUAUUUCAGGGAUGAAUGAAUCUUGGGUCACUGCUCGAAUUCAAUAGAAGGGGGAUAGCAAGUGUAUUCCUUGGGAAAAUCUAAGAGAUUUGAUUUUGACUCACCUAGAUGAGAAGAAAAGGGUUGAAAUUUUUGCCUUAAGCAUCUAUAGAUUGGUGAUUUUUCCUAGGGCUUUAAGACAUGUUGAUGAGGCAGUCACUGAUCUGUUUGAUCGUCUCGGGAAAGGAGUCACACCUGUACUUGCAAUACUGGCCGAGACGUUUAGAUCUUUGAGCAUGUGCCGGAAGGCAGGGGAAGGUCGAUUUAUUGGCUGUGCACAGUUGUUAAUGGUAUGGUUUCACGGGCAUUUUUGGAAAGUAGAUAAGGUAUCAUACCAGAUUUUCUCUGAAGGUUACUCCCCGUUAAAAGAAGAGAUAGCAAUGCAAAGGAGAGAUGAUAUUUCGGAAGAGAAAUGGAUGGAAAUUCUCCAAAAUCUCAAGGAAGAUGAUGUAGAGUGGAGGGCUUUCUAAAUGGUUCCUGACGAAGUCUUGUAUCGAUGUGGAAGUUAUAAUUAGGUGCCAUUAUUAGGAAUUUGGGGAGCUACUGGAUAUACUCCUUUACUUGUACUAAGGCAGUAUAAGUCGAGGCAGUUUAUACCUACGACGCACGGGUUGGCCCACUGUGAACUUCUAUAUAAAGGAGACCACUAUAGGAAGAAUGUUCGAGAAUCGUCUGAUGCUUGGAGGCAAAUGCACUGGAUGAAAAGGCUGACUGUUGGUUCUAUAGUAACACUCGAAUAUAAUGGGUGGUUUAGGAAAAGAGUCAAUGACAAUAUUCCAAGACCAAGUUUGGAAAGCGCUCGACCAAUGGAGGAACAGUUACAAGUUGCCUCGUCGGAGUUGGAAAUUAUAAAGCAGGAUUUUGAGAAGAAGAGUUCUGAGUUCGGGAAGAAGAUUGAGCAGUUGAAAGAAGAAAAGAUGCACUUGAAGUUAGAAGUGGAGAUUCAAAAGUCAGAGGCAGAAAAGCUACAGAAAAGGAAGGGUAAAAUUGAGGAAAAUUUGGAAAGUUUGAAAACUGAUUACAAGAAACUGCGCUUAUCAAUGAGGACUGCUGGGCUAGGAAAGACUUCGGAACAAUGGCGUCAAGAGGUUUGAGAAGAAAGGGCUAAGGCAGAUCAAUGGGAAAAGAGGUUCCAGGAGGCUCAAGCUCGGAAAGAAGCUUUAGAAAGAAGUCUAUCAGAGAGUAAGAAUGAGAAGGAUGAACUAAGAGCCAGAGUGGUGGAACUUAAGAGAUCUCUGUGUUUAUACCGAAAUCGUAAUUCUGUGACUGAAUUGAAAGCAAGCUUAAGUAAGAUCGAGGAGAAGAAAGGGAAAAUAGAAAAGUUAGAAACCGCAUUGCAGAGUUGUGAAAUGAGGAUUGAGUUCUUGGAGGCAAAUGAGGAGCAAUGGAAGAAUCAACUUCAUCAAUCUCAAGACCAAGUUAGAAGCAGGGAUUACAUCAUGGGAGAAGCUGUAAUGCAAAUUCGAGAAGUAGCUGACUACUUGCAGUCCUUGGCAGUACAGGUGGACGUAUUAAGUGUGAAGUACGAGCUGGAGUCAGAUAGGGGACAAGAAUUAGCUUCAUUGCUUAGGAAAAUUAAGGCCCAGAGUGUUAGGGCAAAGUCGUAUUUGUAACUCAGUUUUAUGUAAAGAGUUUUAUUUUCUAGUGAAAUUUUCUAAAAGGAAUUGAAUCAGAAUUGGUGCCUCCUUUGCAUUCAUGCAUUUGCAUUACAUUACAUUAUAUGCAUUAAAAAUCAUAAUAAGAUUCUAAUUAAUAAAAAAAUUAUUUCAGUAAUCUGGAAACCAACCAAAACACACCAAAUACGCAUCCCUACGGUACGAGGAAAAAGACUAAGUCAAUGGAAAAAAGACAGGAAAAGUUAGAACAGAUGCAAAAGGAUAUGCAAGAGCAAAUGCAGUCACAAAUGCAAGAACAACUGGUUAAGAUUCAUGUGACAACCCGAAUUAGGGCCUAAUCAGAAUAAUGGUUUUGUGACCACAAAUCCGAGAUAGAAAUAAUUGUUUUAUAAUUAUUUUGGGGUUUAUGAUAUGAUUUCAUGAUUUCAUGAAAAUUUCGUGAUGAAAUUCUAUGCAUUGAGCGCUUAAGUUGAGAUUAGGGACUAAACCGAAUAAAUUGUAAAACUCGUGUUUUAGAAGUUUUUAUUAUGAAAUUGCUUUGGGAUAUUAACUAGGAGGUCUUAAAUAGAAAUUUGACCCAUUCCUAAGUUAUGGACAAAAGUUGGACAUGGAGUGAAUUUUUGGAAAGUUUAGUAGUAAGGGCAUUUUGGUCAUUUGUAUAUUAAAUAAAAUAAAAUGGGAAAAAUAACACAAAAUUGGUCAUCAUCUUCACUAGUUGCUGCCGAAAUUUUCUCUCCUCCAUAGCUAGGGUUUCUUCAACUUUCAAGCUUCAUAGUAAGUGAUUUCAAGCCCCGUUUUUAAUGUUCUUCACAUUUUUAAAAUCCUCGUAGCUCGGUUUACUUAUUUCUACCAUUAUUUCGAGUUAGGGUUUAUGUUUAAAAAUUUACCCAUGAAUGAUAGGCAUGUAUUGUGUUGUUUGAUGGUAGAAUAUGAAUGUUUGAAGUUAGGAGAACGAUCUUUUCUAAGCGAUUUUUAACGAAAACGAGCAAAACGGCAUAAUCGAUAAAAAUACCUAUUGUUCAUAACUAUGUGUUAGAGUGAGAAUUUGAUGUUGCCAUAGAAGAGAAAAAUGAUCAGUAGGUCAUUAAACAUAAUAAUAAGGGCUGAAAUUAAAUUUCCGAGCCUUAGGGAAAAAUCGUAAUUUUGUAAAAGUUAGGGGCAAAAAUGUAAUUUUUGUAUAAUGUGAUUUUUGGAUUAAAAUAAAUAGUUCGAGUGUUAAAUGAGCUAAAUAUGUUGUUAUAGAUCAAGAAAGGCAUGGAAUCGACCUCGAACGGGAGAAGGAGAAAGUUUUGGACUAAAUUGCAAAAUUCCCAUAUUUUGCACCGAGGUAAGUUUGUAUGUAAAUAAUACAUUAAUUUCAUUUACAUUCUUAUUUUUCAGCCUAUUAUAUAUAUAUACUAGCUGAUGUUGAAAUAUAAAUCGACUAUGGAAGAAUGGAAAUAAGUAAUAGAGAGAUCCCGGUUGAACAUUCGGAAAGAUCGAAUAAAAUAGAGGGAGCGUAGCUAGGUCACAUGUAUGGUGCUGAGUGCACAUCAUGUGUACAAGAAAGCUACGAGAUACUAUGUAGUAGCUAGGUCACAUAUGUGAUACGAGAUGUAUCCCUUGUAGACAAGAGAGCUACGUGAGAGAUAAAUGUAACUAGGUCGCAUGCGUGAUUCCAAGUGAAGGACACCAUGUAGACAAGAGAGCUACGAGACAAAUCAGCUAGGUCACAUGAGUGAUACUAAGUGUUCACCAUGUGUAUAAGAGAGCCGAAUUAAAUAAAAUAUGAUGGUGGGGCUGUGUGCUGAAACCAUCAAGUAUCGAGGAUUAAUCCGAAUUGUUCAACGGGAUGGCUUUGUGGUGGCAUUGUACUCAUGGGCCUAUAUUUGUGAUUUAUGAAAUGUGGUGAAAAUGAAUUAUGAUAUAUAUAUAAGUUAAAAUGAGGUUAGUACAAAGAAUGUGUGAAAGAGUGAAAUUAGCAUUAAAACUGUUUUGGACAGUAGCAGUGACUUGAUUUUUAAAAAUCACAAAAAAUAGAAGGAAAGUUAAUUAGAGGUUGAAUGAGAUGUUAAAUUAAAUAUUAAUGAGUCUAUUUUUAUAUAAAAGAAAUAGAGCAAGCAAAGGAAUUCUAUAUUUUGAGAUAUUUACAAUUGUGUGUGACUUGCUCAGGAUGACUAUGUGAUCCCCUGUUCCAACUUUGAAAAAUAAUUAAAAAUUGUACAAAACAAAUUAAGAAAUAUAGUUUAUAUGUCUAAAUUCCUUAUUGAGUCUACUUUUAAAUGAAAUAGGUUUCAUGGUUAUUUGAAUUGUGUACUGAGAGAAAUUUAAUUCGUAGUGAAAAGAGGUCAGAUCAGUUGAGCUGUGUAAUAGGGGAACUUUAACUAAUAAAAUGUAAUAAUUGGCUGAGCCAAAAAUUUUAGAAAAAAAUUAGUAAUAAUUUUUAUGAGUCUAGAUUCAGAAAAAUUUUACGGAUUUGAAUUUCGAGUUUUGUAACUCGAGUUAUGAUUUAUUUAGUGAUCAUGACGCAGGAGGGACAACUUGAUCAAAUCGGAGUAAAUAGUAAAAUUAAAAAUAUGAUAUAAUUGAGUUAUGUUGUAAACAUAUUAGAUUCCUUAUUUGUUAUUUAUAUACUUACUUACUAAGCUAUAAGCUUACUUUCUUUGCUCUCCUUUGUCUUAUAGUGUCAUCCAGCUAGCACAGGAGUUAGAGAUCGUUGAAGAUCCGCCCGCACUAUCAAUACUCUUGGUAUUUGAACUCAACAUUUUGAAAUAUGGCAUGUAUAGCAGACUUAGUUAUUUUGUUACGUGUCAUAAUUGUCUAGGUUUAAAAUACUAAUUAUAGUAUCAAACUAAUCAUUUUCUACGAAGCCUUUGAAAUUGGUUUGUAUUGUUAAUGGCAUAUGUUAUAAUGAUUCAUGAUCAAAUUGUACGCCAUAUUUUUUGUUGGGUUUUAUUUAAUAGUAUAUACUAUAAUUUGUUAAUACCUCGUGCCCUGUUCCAGCGACGGAUACGGGUAAGGGGUGUUACAUUUAGUGGUAUCAGAUCCAUGGUUUAGUCGGUUCUCAGACUAAUAAAGUUUGUGUAAAAGAUCAGCUAUACAUGCCAUAAAAAUAUUGUGAUAGUGCGGUGACUCCUGAUUAUUCUAAACUGUGUUUUGUUUUAAUAUAGUAAUGGAUCCUGAAGGAACUGCGGCUAAUGAUGCUGCUAGUAAUGCGCCGGCUCCCGCACAAGGGACCGCGCCUGUGGAAAGUAGACCUAAGACAUUGAGACAGGGAGAUGAGGCUCGGGAUGCCUUUCUCCAAAUGAUGAACAAUUGGUAUAUUGAGUUUAUUCGAGCAAAUCCAAAUGCUCAACCUCCUCCACCCCCUCCCAUACCUCAGACGGUUCCGUAGCUGCUCAAGGCAUAGAUUUGGUAAGAACGAACAAGCCUCCGGUUGACAAGAUUCGAAAACAAGGGGCCGAAGAGUUUAGAGCAAAGAUCGAUGAUGAUCCUGAGAAAGUGGAGUUCUGGCUUGAAAAUUCUACCCGUGUAUUUGAUGAGCUCUCAUGUACACCCGAGGAGUGCUUAAAGUGUGCUGUAUCACUUUUGAGAGAUUCGGCCUGCCACUGGUGGAAGACUUUGGUACCAGUGGUGCCAAAAGAAAGAGUUACUUGGGAUUUCUUCCAGGAAGAAUUCAGAAACAAAUACAUAAGUCAGUGAUUUAUUGAUCAAAAACGGAAGAAGUUCCUUGAAUUGAAGCAGGGCAAGAUGUCUGUGGCAGAGUAUGAACCCGAAUUUGUAAGACUCAAUAAGUAUGCCCAGGAAUGUGUGUCCACCGAGGCCAUUAUGUGCAGAAGGUUUGAAGAUGGGCUAAAUAAGGACAUUAAAGUGCUUGUGGGAAUUUUGGAGUUGAAAGAAUUUGUAGUAUUGGUUGACCGAGCUCUUAAAGCCGAAGAAUUGAACAAAGAAAGAAGAAAAGCUGCUAUUGAGGCUCGAGAUGCCAGAAAAAGGCCGAUAAGCAAGUCAUUUCAAUCUCAAUCAAAGAGGUCCAAAGAGACAAACCCUCGAAUGAUAGUUUCAAUUGGGGAUUCACACAGAGAUCGUGGUAGAGCAUAUUCGGGGUCUAAAGCUCAAGCUACUUCGGUGGCAAGUAUGGGUAAUGUGCGACCUAGAAAGCCCGAGUGUCAGCAAUGUGGCAGGCAACAUUAUGGUGAGUGUUGGGGAAACGAGCGAGCUUGUUUCAGGUGCGGUUCUCGCGAGCAUUUUAUUAGAGACUGUCCGGAGAAAGUUAAAGAAGAAAGAUUUCAGAGUGCUAGACAGAAUACCACCGCUAGCAGAGGUAGACCACCGAGAAAUAUUAGAGGUGGGACUAGCAGUAAAACUGCGAUGAAAGAUUCAGCGGCAAGAUCAGAAGCUAGAGCGCCUGCUAGAGCUUAUGCUAUACGUGCCCGAGAAGAUGCAUCAUCUCCCGAUGUCAUUACUGAUACAUUUUCUCUCUAUGAUACUAUUGUUAUUGUAUUGAUUGAUCCCGGGUCCACUCAUUCCUAUAAUUGCAUGAAUUUAGUAUCUAACAAAAAGUUGCCUGUUGAGUUUACUGACUUUACAAUUAAAGUGUCGAACCCCUUAGGCCAAUAUGUGCUAGUUGACAAGGUUUGCAAGAAUUGCCCAUUAAUGAUUCAAGGUCACUGUUUUCCGGCUAAUCUGAUGCUGUUACCAUUUGAUGAGUUUGACGUUAUUUUGGGAAUGGACUGGUUGACAUUGUAUGAUGCCAAGGUAGAUUGUAAACAAAAAACACUAGAGUUGAAAUGUGAAAAUGGAGAAAUUCUGUGGGUUGAAACAGAUGAAUCAAAUAAAUUGCCUAUGGUGAUUUCGCACAUGUCUGCACAGAAAUACAUGAGGAAAGGGUGUGAAGCUUAUCUAGCUUAUGUAAUGAAUACUGAUUUGCCUUAACUGAAGUUUGAAUUAGUACCGAUAGUCUGUGAGUUUCCAGAUGUAUUUCCAGAGGAAUUGCCUGGGUUGCCUCCGAACAGAGAGAUAGAGUUUGCCAUUGAUUUGUUGCCGGGUACUGCAUCGAUCUCGAUUGCUCCAUAUAGAAUGGCUCCAACUGAAUUAAAAGAAUUGAAGGCUCAGUUGCAAGAGUUAACAGAUAAGGGAUUUGUGAGACUGAGUUUCUCUCCCUGGGGUGCUCCUGUAUUGUUCGUAAAGAAGAAGGAUGGUUCAAUGAGACUUUGCAUUGAUAAGGUGACUAUAAAGAACAAAUACCCAUUGCCGAGGAUUGAUGAUUUAUUCGAUCAGUUAAAGGGGGCCACAGUGUUUUCAAAGAUCGAUUUGAGGUCUGGUUACUACCAGUUGAGAGUUAAGGAGUCGGAUGUGCCGAAAACUGCCUUUAGGACAAGGUAUGGACAUUAUGAGUUUCUUGUGAUGCUUUCGGCUUAACAAAUGCUCCAGCUAUAUUUAUGGACUCGAUGAACCGGAUCUUUCGGCCAUAUUUGGAUAAGUUUGUAGUAGUGUUUAUGUAACACCCCUUACCCGUAUUCCUUACCGGAACAGAGUAUGAGGUAUUACUAAAUUUUUAAAAAUUUUCGACAGCAUUCCUACUUAUUUUUUUGCUUAAACCUCCUGCAAAUUUAGAACACAUUCCAAUAUACCAACCAAUUUCAUUUGUAUAAACACACAUAUAGUUUAACUAUUAAUAAACACUACAUUUAAAAGGGAACCAUAACAUAUAUUUACAUGAUGAUCCCACAUUACAUAAAGUGUCUAUACAUGCCAUAAAAUUUCGGAACACUAGUAGUAAAAUACCCCAAAUGUGAAGGAUAGUGUAGAUGAUUGUCUGACUUCGUUCCAAUUUCCGAGUUGUUGGAAGUCACUAUAACCAAGAGAAAAAUAAAAUCGAGUAAGCAUAUAGCUUAGUAAGUAAACACAUGAUAAAUAAGUAAUUACUCCCAUAACUACACCAAAAUAUAAACUUAUUCAUGAAUAACUUUAUUGUUUAGGCAAUUUCCAGCAAGCUGUUUUUCUGCGUCAUAGUCGCUAAUUUAUUUUUAUCUGGAGCUACAGGGCUCCAAAUUGAGUUCCGUAAAUUUUUCCUGAAACUAGACUCAUAUACCAUUUCACCAUAAAAAUUUCAGAAUUUUUAACCCAUCCAAUUAGUACAGUUUAUUCAUUAAACCUUCCCCUGUUUCACUGCCCAACGGUUCUGACCCUUCCUCACUAAAAUUUACUUAACUAUCUGUAAAAAAUUUGAAAAAUGGGUUUUCUUGUUUCUAAUAAAAAUAGACUCAAUAAGGAUUCCAGGGAUAUAAAUUUCAUGCCAUAAUUAUUUUUUUACAAUUUUUGGUAAUUUUCCAAAGUUAGAACAGGGGAUCUCGAAAUCAAUCCAGCCCUGUUUUAGUAAAAUUCAGAUAUCUCCAAAAAUACAACUCUUUUGCUUAUUCCAUUUCUUUCAUAUGAAAACAGACAAUCCAGCUUCAAUUUCAUAUAUUAUUCAGCUUCCCAUUCAUUUUCCACCAUUUAUGGUGAUUUUUCAAAGUUACCCAACUGCUGUUGUUCAACACAGUUUAUAAUUAAAUCGUUCCUUUUUCGUUUUUGAUAUUUUCUCCCAUCUCAUACAUGGAUCGAUUUAGUGUCCAACUCAAUAUUUACCCCAUAAAAUUUUCCACCAUAUGGCAAUAUUCACCUUCCACACUUUUUCGUUGAACACUCGGAAUGUUAACCGUUAUUGGUGGAUCUCGCACUUAGCACCACCACUGAAUCGGGGAAUCAUCACUUAGCAACCCCUCGGGGGAAUCAGCACAUAGCAACCCCCUUUUCAUUUCAAAUAUACAAUGGAUAUCGCACUUAGCAACCCCUCGGGGGAAUCAGCACAUAGCAACCCCCUUUCACAUUUCAAAGAUAUGGUGGAUAUCGCACUUAGCACCACCAAUGAACCGGGGAAUCAGCACUUAGCAACCCCUCGGGGGAAUCAGCACAUAGCAACCCCCUUUCACAUUUCAAAGAUAUGGUGGAUCACGCACAUAGCACCACCCAUAAAUCGGGGAAUCAGCACACAGCAACCCCUUUUAUAUACAACAUACUACGGCUUAUUCCGAGUGUUCAACCCAUAACCCAUAUAUUGCAACCCUUUAUCACCUUUCCCGAUUUAACAACAUUUUUAGGAUAUUGCCAAACAUUUAUUUUAAUUCCAAAUAAAUCUCAACAUAUAUCAAAUAAUAUCAAAAUAAUACAUUAAGUCACGUGUUUACUUACCUCGGUGCAAAAUAUCGUAAUUUUGCACUUUACUCCACUAUCUUUUCUUUUCCUCGUUUGAUAUACUCUCCACGUCUUUCUUGAUCUAUAAUAGCAAAUUUAACUCGUUUAAAGUCCACAUUUAUUAAAAUAAUCCACCACCCAACUUUUUGAAAAUUACAAUUUUGCCCCCAAAUUUUUGCAUAAUUACACUUUUGUCCCCAAGCUCGGAAAUUAAUCUUCAUCACUUAUUCUUAAGUUUUAUAACAUGCUAAACAUUUUUCCCUUCUAUGGAAACAUCAAAUUCCCACUCCAACACAUACUUUUGAAUAUCAAUUAUUUUUACCGAUUAUGUCUAUUUACCCGUUUUCGCUUAAAAUUGCUUAGCAAAAGUUGUUUAACAUAAUAUCUAGCUUCAUAUUCCACCAUAAAACAGCAAAAUAAACACAUUUCACCUAUGGAUAUUUUUCCAAAUAUGAACCCUAACAUGAAUUAAUGGUAGAAUAAGCUAAACCAAGUUACCGGGACUCCAAAAAUACGAAGAACAUUAAAAACGGGGCUUAGAAUCACUUACUAUGGAGCUUGAAAGCUUAAAAACCCUAAAUAUGGCUUCCCCCUUGCUGAUUUCGUUCACCAUGAAGAAGAUGAGCAUAUUUUGCCAUCUUUUUCCCAUUUAAUUCUAUUUAAUAACCAAAUGACUAAAAUGCCCCCAUUUAAAAAAAAUCUAUUUCACCCAUUUCUUAUGUCUAUUUUUGUCCAUCAACUAACUAAUGGUCUAAUUACCACAUAAAGACCUCCAAUUUAAAAUUUCAUAACAAUUAGACACCUCUAAGAUGUAGAACUCAACUUUUGCACUAUUUACAAUUUAGUCCUUUUGACUAAAUUGAGUGCCCAAACGUCGAAAUUUUCGAACGAAAUUUUUACGAAAAUUUUCCGUGAAAUUGUAGAUAAUAAAAAUAUAAUAAUAACCAUAUUUUCCCUCGUCGGAUUUGUGGUCCCGAAACCACUAUUCCGACUAGGCCCAGAAUCGGGCUGUUACAACUCUCCCCCCUUAGGGAUUUUCGUCCCCGAAAAUCUUACCGGAAAAGAGGUUUGGGUACUGUUUCCUCAUAAUUUCCUCCGGUUCCCACGUAGCCUCUUCCAUUCCAUGUUUUUGCCACAACACUUUCACUAAGGCUACACUUUUAUUUCUUAACUGUUUGACCUCCCGAGCCAAAAUCUUUAUGGGUUCUUCUUCAUAAGUCAUAUCUGGUCGAACCUCAAUCUCUGUAGGAGAAACUAUAUGUGAAGGAUCCGAACGAUAACGUCGCAACAUCGACACAUGAAAUACAUUAUGUAUCUUUUCCAACUCUGGCGGUAAAGCUAACCGAUAUGCUACAGGGCCAACUCUCUCGGUAACUUCAUAUGGUCCAAUAAAACGUGGACUUAGUUUGCCUUUACGACCAAAUCUCAGAAUCUUCUUCCAUGGGGAUACUUUCAAGAACACUUUAUCACCCACUUGAAACUCAAUUUCUUUUCUCUUUAAAUCCGCAUACGACUUUUGCCGAUCUGAGGCAGCUUUUAGGCAAUCACGGAUUAUUUUCACCUUUUCUUCAGUUUCUUUCACCAGGUCGACUCCAUGAAUCCGAUUCUCACCGAGUUCAGUCCAAUAUAAAGGGGUUCUACAUUUACGCCCAUAUAAUGCUUCAUACGGUGCCAUUUGUAUACUUGACUGAUAACUAUUAUUAUAAGCAAAUUCAACCAGUGGUAGAUAUUUCUCCCAACUGUCCUUCAUUUCUAAAAUACAACACCGGAGCAUGUCUUCAAGAACUUGAAUCACCCUUUCUGAUUGUCCGUCAGUUUGCGGAUGAAAUGCAGUACUGAAAUUCAAUUUCGUACCCAAAGCUUCCUGUAACUUUAUCCAAAACCUCGAAGUAAAUCUCGGAUCUCUAUCCAAUAUAAUAGAUUUAGGCACCCCAUGUAGUCUCACUAUUUCAGCAACAUAUAAUUCAGCCAACCUGUCAAGUGAAUAAUCAAUGCGUAUCGGAAUAAAAUGGGCUGACUUUGUCAAUCUAUCCACAAUUACCCAAAUAGCAUCUUUCUUCUUUGGAGUUAAAGGCAAUCCUGUCACGAAAUCCAUCGUGAUACUGUCCCACUUCCAUUCUGGAAUCGUUAUCGGUUGAAGUAAACCCGAUGGCACUUGAUGCUCAGCCUUCACUUGUUGACAGAUUAAACAUUUUGUUACAAAUUCCGAGAUAUCCUUUUUCAUGCCCGGCCACCAAUACAACUUCCUCAAAUCAUUGUACAUUUUCACACUACCCGAAUGGACUGAUAAAUCACCACUGUGUGCCUCACCUAAAAUAGUCCGAAUUAGCUCAUCAUUUCUCGGUACACAUAUUCUGUCCCUGAACAUCAGGCAAUCAUCUGAACCAAUUUGAAAAUCUGAGUCAACACCUGCUUCACACUGAGCUCUCUUGGCUUGCAAUUUACUGUCAUUCUUUUGAGAUUCCCGAAUUUGCUGAAGAAAUAACGGUCUAGCUCUCAAUUCAACCAACAUUGAGCCAUCAUCAGAUAAAGUUAACAUCGUACCCAUAGCUCUCAAAGCAAAUAAAGAUUUUCUGCUCAAGGCAUCAGCAACCACAUUAGCUUUCCCGGGGUGAUAAUCAAUCACUAGCUCAUAGUCUUUGAUUAGCUCGAGCCAUCUUCGUUGCCGCAAAUUCAAGUCUUUUUGACUCAUCAAAUAUUUCAAACUCUUAUGAUCAGUGAAGAUUCGGCACUUUUCACCAUACAAAUAAUGACGCCAAAUUUUUAAAGCAAAAACAAUGGCAGCCAAUUCUAAAUCAUGCGUCGGAUAAUUCUUCUCAUGCGGUUUCAACUGUCUCGAAGCAUAAGCUAUUACUUUGCCCUCUUGCAUUAACACACACCCAAGGCCAUUCAACGAUGCAUCACUGUAAAUUACAAACUCCUUCCCGGACUCAGGUUGCACCAACACUGGCGCCUCAGUCAAUAAUGCCUUCAACUUUUCAAAACUCUGUUGACAUUUAUCGGUCCAUUCAAACUUGACAUUCUUCUGCAGUAACUUAGUCAUAGGAGAAGCAAUCAUCGAGAAUCCCUAGACAAACCGUCUGUAAUACCCAGCUAAGCCCAGGAAGCUUCUAACUUCAGUCACAUUCUUUGGUGGCUCCCAAUCAACAAUUGCUGAAAUUUUGCUUGGAUCAACCCGAAUACCUUCACUUGAAACUAUAUGUCCCAAGAAUCCAACCUCACGAAGCCAAAACUCACUUUUGCUGAAUUUAGCAUACAAUUUCUUUUCUCUCAGAAUCUGCAACACAGUUCUCAAAUGUUCUGCAUGUUCCGAUUCAUCCCGAGAAUAGAUUAAAAUAUCAUCUAUGAACACCACCACGAACUUGUCUAAGUACAGCCGAAAAAUUCGGUUCAUCAAGUCCAUAAAAAUAGCUGGAGCAUUAGUCAACCCAAAAGGCAUUACCAGAAAUUCAUAGUGUCCAUACCUCGUUCUGAAGGCGGUUUUCGGCACAUCAGACUCUUUAACUCUCAACUGAUAGUAACCAGACCUCAGAUCGAUCUUGGAGAACACUGUUGCCCCUUUUAAUUGAUCAAACAAAUCAUCAAUUCUCGGCAAAGGAUACUUGUUCUUUAUGGUCACCUUAUUGAGCUGACGAUAGUCAAUACAAAGUCUCAUAGAGCCGUCCUUCUUUUUCACAAAUAACACAGGAGCACCCCAAGGAGAAAAACUCGGUCUCACAAAUCCUUUAUCUGUCAACUCUUGUAACUGAGCUUUUAAUUCCUUCAACUCAGUCGGAGCCAUUCGAUACGGUGCAAUAGAAAUCGGUGCAGUAUCAGGUAACAGAUCAAUAGAAAACUCAACUUCUCUAAUCGGAGGUAACCCAGGCAAUUCCUCUGGAAAUACAUCUGGAAAUUCACAGACUACCGGCACUGAUUCAAGCUUCGACCCAGUUAUAUCAGUAUUCAACACAUAAGCAAGAUAAACUUCACAUCCCUUUCUCAAGUAUUUCUGAGCAGACAUGUGCGAAAUCACCAUAGGCAACUUAUUCGGCUCCUCUGUUUCAAUCCGGAGAAUUUCACCAUUUUCACACUUUAAUUCAAGAAUUUUCUGUCUACAAUUCACCUUGGCAUCAUGCAAUAUCAACCAAUCCAUCCCCAAAAUAACAUCGAACUCAUCAAAUGGUAACAACAUCAAAUUAGCCAGGAAACAGUGACCUUGAAUCAUCAGGGGGCAAUUCUUGCAAAUCUUAUCAACUAAGACAUACUUGCCUAAUGGAUUUGAUACUUUAACUACAUAUUCAGUGUUUUCAACAGGCAAUUUCUUACUAGAUACCAAUUUCAUGCAUACAUAUGAAUGAGUAGAGCCGGGAUCAAUCAAAGCAAUAACAUCUAUAUCAUGAAGAGAAAAUGUACCAGUAAUCACAUCGGGAGAUGAGGCAUCCUCUCGAGCACGUAUGGCAUAAGUCCUGGCAGGCGCUCUAAUUUCUGAUCCUCCAGCUGCAUCUUUCAUCACACUUUUACCACUGACUUUGCUUCCCACAUUUCUCGGCGGUCUCCCUCUACUAACAAUAUCACUCGAUCCAGCUCUUGGCAAAUUUUCUUCCUCUCUUCUCUCAGGGCAAUCUCUUACAUAAUGCUCUUGGGAACCACACCUGAAACAAGCUCGUUUAAAUCCCCAACACUCACCAAUAUGUCGCCUGCCACACUGUUGACAUUCAGGCCGGGUGUUUCCUACAUUGCCCACACUUGCUACAGAGGUAGCUCGAGUUGUAGCUCCAGAAUACGACCUCCCUCGGUCUCUGCGUGAAUACCCAACUGAACCAGUUGGUCGUGGAUCCAUCCCUUUAAACUUCUUCGAAUGAGAUUGAAAUGUUCUGCCCAUUGUCCUCUUCCUUACAUCUCGAGAUUCCAUCUCUGCCCUUCUCUUUUCUCUACUCAGUUCUUCAGCUUUACAGGCCCGAUCAACUAACACCACAAAUUCUUUUAACUCUAAAAUCCCAACAUGCAAUCUGAUGUCUUCAUUUAGCCCCUCUUCAAAUCUUUUACACAUAAUAGCCUCCGUAGGCACACAUUCCUGGGCAUAUUUACUAAGCCGAACAAACUCCCGUUCAUAUUCUGCUACGGACAUUCGGCCCUGUUUCAACCCGAGAAACUCUUUGCGUUUUUGAUCAAUAAAUCGUUGGCUUACAUAUUUCUUUCUAAAUUCUUCCUGAAAGAAGUCCCAAGUAACUCUUUCUUUUGGAACCACCGAUAUCAAUGUUUUCCACCAACGAUAUGCCGAAUCCUUCAAUAAAGACACAGCACAUUUCAAACAUUCUUCAGGGGUGCAAGAUAAUUCAUCAAAUACCCGAAUAGUAUUUUCAAGCCAAAACUCGGCUUUUUCCGGAUCAUCAUCAACAUUGGCCCUAAAAUCUUCAGCCCCAUGCUUUCGAAUUCUAUCAACAGGUGGCUUACUUGAUCUCACCAAUUCGGCACUCCGUGGAGCUACGGGGACCGGUUGAGGAAUAGGAGGGGGUGGAGGAGGAGGAACAUUCGGAUUUACACGGACAUAUUUUAUAUACCAAUCACUCAUCAUUCGGAGGAAGGCUUCCCGAGCCUCAUCCUGUCCAUGUGUCUCAUGUCUACUCUCUUCCUGCGCGGUCCCUUGCGCGAGAGCCGGCGCGUUACUUUCAACAUCAUCUGCCACACUUCGAUCAGGAUCCAUUUACUAUAUAAAACAAAAUUUUAAAUUGUCAGAAAUCAUCACACUAUCACAAUAAUUUUAUGGCAUGUAUAGACUGACUUCCACACGUAUUUUAUUGGUCCGAGAACCGACUAAACCGUAGCUCUGAUACCACUAAAAUGUAACACCCCUUACCCGUAUUCCUUACCGGAACAGAGUAUGAGGUAUUACUAAAUUUUUAAAAAUUUUCGACAGCAUUCCUACUUAUUUUUUUGCUUAAACCUCCUGCAAAUUUAGAACACAUUCCAAUAUACCAACCAAUUUCAUUUGUAUAAACACACAUAUAGUUUAACUAUUAAUAAACACUACAUUUAAAAGGGAACCAUAACAUAUAUUUACAUGAUGAUCCCACAUUACAUAAAGUGUCUAUACAUGCCAUAAAAUUUCGGAACACUAGUAGUAAAAUACCCCAAAUGUGAAGGAUAGUGUAGAUGAUUGUCUGACUUCGUUCCAAUUUCCGAGUUGUUGGAAGUCACUAUAACCAAGAGAAAAAUAAAAUCGAGUAAGCAUAUAGCUUAGUAAGUAAACACAUGAUAAAUAAGUAAUUACUCCCAUAACUACACCAAAAUAUAAACUUAUUCAUGAAUAACUUUAUUGUUUAGGCAAUUUCCAGCAAGCUGUUUUUCUGCGUCAUAGUCGCUAAUUUAUUUUUAUCUGGAGCUACAGGGCUCCAAAUUGAGUUCCGUGAAUUUUUUCUGAAACUAGACUCAUAUACCAUUUCACUAUAAAAAUUUCAGAAUUUUUAACCCAGCCAAUUAGUACAGUUUAUUCAUUAAACCUUCCCCUGUUUCACUGCCCAAUGGUUCUGACCCUUCCUCACUAAAAUUUACUUAACUCUCUGUAAAAAAAUUGAAAAAUGGGUUUUCUUGUUUCUAAUAAAAAUAGACUCAAUAAGGAUUCCAGGGAUAUAAAUUUCAUGCCAUAAUUAUUUUUUUACAAUUUUUGGUAAUUUUCCAAAGUUAGAACAGGGGAUCUCGAAAUCAAUCCAGCCCUGUUUUAGUAAAAUUCAGAUAUCUCCAAAAAUACAACUCUUUUGCUUAUUCUAUUUCUUUCAUAUGAAAACAGACAAUCCAGCUUCAAUUUCAUAUAUUAUUCAGCUUCCCAUUCAUUUUCCACCAUUUAUGGUGAUUUUUCAAAGUUACCCAACUGCUGUUGUUCAACACAGUUUAUAAUUAAAUCGUUCCUUUUUCGUUUUUGAUAUUUUCUCCCAUCUCAUACAUGGAUCGAUUUAGUGUCCAACUCAAUAUUUACCCCAUAAAAUUUUCCACCAUAUGGCAAUAUUCACCUUCCACACUUUUUCGUUGAACACUCGGAAUGUUAACCGUUAUUGGUGGAUCUCGCACUUAGCACCACCACUGAAUCGGGGAAUCAUCACUUAGCAACCCCUCGGGGGAAUCAGCACAUAGCAACCCCCUUUUCAUUUCAAAUAUACAAUGGAUAUCGCACUUAGCAACCCCUCGGGGGAAUCAGCACAUAGCAACCCCCUUUCACAUUUCAAAGAUAUGGUGGAUAUCGCACUUAGCACCACCAAUGAACCGGGGAAUCAGCACUUAGCAACCCCUCGGGGGAAUCAGCACAUAGCAACCCCCUUUCACAUUUCAAAGAUAUGGUGGAUCACGCACAUAGCACCACCCAUAAAUUGGGGAAUCAGCACACAGCAACCCCUUUUAUAUACAACAUACUACGGCUUAUUCCGAGUGUUCAACCCAUAACCCAUAUAUUGCAACCCUUUAUCACUUUUCCCGAUUUAACAACAUUUUUAGGAUAUUGCCAAACAUUUAUUUUAAUUCCAAAUAAAUCUCAACAUAUAUCAAAUAAUAUCAAAAUAAUACAUUAAGUCACGUGUUUACUUACCUCGGUGCAAAAUAUCGUAAUUUUGCACUUUACUCCACUAUCUUUUCUUUUCCUCGUUUGAUAUACUCUUCACGUCUUUCUUGAUCUAUAAUAGCAAAUUUAACUCGUUUAAAGUCCACAUUUAUUAAAAUAAUCCACCACCCAACUUUUUGAAAAUUACAAUUUUGCCCCCAAACUUUUGCAUAAUUACACUUUUGUCCCCAAGCUCGGAAAUUAAUCUUCAUCACUUAUUCUUAAGUUUUAUAACAUGCUAAACAUUUUUCCCUUCUAUGGAAACAUCAAAUUCCCACUCCAACACAUACUUUUGAAUAUUAAUUAUUUUUACCGAUUAUGUCUAUUUACCCGUUUUCGCUUAAAAUUGCUUAGCAAAAGUUGUUUAACAUAAUAUCUAGCUUCAUAUUCCACCAUAAAACAGCAAAAUAAACACAUUUCACCUAUGGAUAUUUUUCCAAAUAUGAACCCUAACAUGAAUUAAUGGUAGAAUAAGCUAAACCAAGUUACCGGGACUCCAAAAAUACGAAGAACAUUAAAAACGGGGCUUAGAAUCACUUACUAUGGAGCUUGAAAGCUUAAAAACCCUAAAUAUGGCUUCCCCCUUGCUGAUUUCGUUCACCAUGAAGAAGAUGAGCAUAUUUUGCCAUCUUUUUCCCAUUUAAUUCUAUUUAAUAACCAAAUGACUAAAAUGCCCCCAUUUAAAAAAAAUCUAUUUCACCCAUUUCUUAUGUCUAUUUUUGUCCAUCAACUAACUAAUGGUCUAAUUACCACAUAAAGACCUCCAAUUUAAAAUUUCAUAACAAUUAGACACCUCUAAGAUGUAGAACUCAACUUUUGCACUAUUUACAAUUUAGUCCUUUUGACUAAAUUGAGUGCCCAAACGUCGAAAUUUUCGAACGAAAUUUUUACGAAAAUUUUCCGUGAAAUUGUAGAUAAUAAAAAUAUAAUAAUAACCAUAUUUUCCCUCGUCGGAUUUGUGGUCCCGAAACCACUAUUCCGACUAGGCCCAGAAUCGGGCUGUUACAGUUUAUAGAUGACAUUCUAAUUUAUUCUCGAGAUGAGUCUGAACAUGCCGAACACUUGAGAACCAUAUUGCAGAUCUUGAGAGAAAAGAAACUGUUUACUAAGUUUAGUAAAAGUUAAUUCUAGCUUCGUGAAGUCAGAUUUUUGGGACAUAUAGUCUCAGGUGAUGGUAUUCGGGUGGAUCCAAGCAAGAUUUCCACGAUCAUUGAUUGGAAACCGCCAAAGAAUGUAUCCAAGGUUAGAAGCAUUUUAGGCUUGGCCAGGUAUUAUAGACGUUUUGUUGAGGGAUUUUCGAUGAUUGCCUCUCCUAUGACUAAGUUGUUGCAAAAGAAUGUUAAGUUUGAAUGGACUGAUAAAUGUCAGCAGAGUUUUGAAAACUUGAAAGCACGAUUGACUGAAGCACUAAUUUUAGUACAGCCCGAGCCAGGAAAGGAGUUCGUAAUUUAUAGUGAUGCAUCAUUGACAUGCCUUGGAUGUGUGUUGAUGCAAGAGGGUAAAGUGGUAGCUUAUGCUUCGAGACAGUUAAAACCGCAUGAGAAGAACUAUCCUACACAUGAUUUGGAAUUGGCCGCUAUUGCCUUUGCCUUGAAGAUUUAGUGACAUUAUUUGCAUGGUGAAAAAUGUCGAAUUUUUAUUGAUCAUAAAAGUUUGAAGUAUUUGAUGAAUCAAAAGGAUUUGAAUCUGUGACAGCGGAGAUGGCUUGAAUUAUUAAAGGAUUAUGAGCUAGUGAUUGAUUAUCAUCCGGGAAAAGCAAAUGUAGUUGCUGACGCAUUGAGCAGGAAAUUUCUUUUUACUUUGAUAGCCAUGAAUACGGGGUUAGCAUUGUCUGAUGAUGGGUCAAUCUUAGCAGAGAUGAGUGCUAAACCGUUAUUUCUCCAGCUGAUUUGUGAUGCUUAAAAAAACGAUAGUGAGUUGUGAAUCAAGAGAACUCAAUACAAAUCAGGUUACGACUCAGAUUUUCGAGUUGGACCAGACGACUGUUUGAUGUUUCGAGACAGGAUAUGUGUACCAAAAAACGAUGAAUUGAUUCAGAAAAUAUUACAUGAGGCGCACAGUGGCUGUUUAUCAGUUCACCCUGGUAGCACAAAAAUGUAUAAUGAUUUAAAGAAGUUGUAUUGGUGGCCAGGUAUGAAAAGGGACAUUUCUGAAUUUGUAACCAAGUGUUUGAUCUGUCAACAAGUAAAAGCUGAACAUCAAGUGCCUUCAGGACUACUUCAACCGGUAAUGGUGCCUGAGUGGAAAUGGGACAAGAUUACCAUGGAUUUUGUAACCGGUUUGCCUUUGACUCCUAAAAAGAAGGAUGCUGUCUGGGUAGUGGUUGAUAGAUUAACAAAGUCAACCCACUUUAUACCAGUACUUACCGAUUACUCACUUGAUAAAUUAGCUGAAUUAUAUAUUGCUGAAAUUGUGAGGUUGCACGGAGUACCUAUGUCUAUAAUAUCAGAUAGAGAUCCGAGAUUUACCUCGAGAUUUUGGAAAAAGUUACAAGAAGCUUUGGGUACAAAAUUGAACUUUAGUACCGCGUUUCAUCCACAAACAAAUGGUCAGUCGGAAAGAGUAAUCCAGGUACUCGAGGAUAUGCUUAGAUGUUGUGUUUUAGAAUUUGGAGGUAGUUGGGAGAAAUAUCUAUCUUUGAUUGAAUUUGCCUACAAUAAUAGUUAUUAGUCAAGUAUACAAAUGGCACCGUACGAAGCCUUGUAUGGUCGCAAGUGUCAAACUCCUUUAUAUUGGACCAAACAUAGUGAGAAACAGAUUCACGGAAUUGAUCUAGUUAAAGAAACCGAAGAGAAAAUAAAAGUAAUUCGGGAUUGCUUGAAAGCUGCUUCAGAUCGACAAAAGUCAUAUGCAGAUUUAAAAAGAAAAGAUAUUGAAUAUCAGGUGGGUGAUAAAGUGUUCUUGAAGGUGUCACCAUGGAAAAAGAUUCUGAGAUUUAGCCGAAAAGGUAAGUUGAGUCCGCGUUUUAUUGGGCCGUACGAGAUUACUGAGAGGAUUGGACCAGUGGCAUAUCAGUUGGCCUUACCGGCAGAGUUAGAAAGAAUUCAUAACGUGUUUCAUGUAUCAAUGUUGCGACGUUAUCGUUCUGAUCCUUCACAUGUGAUUUCUCCAACAGAAAUUGAGAUUCGACUGGAUAUGACCUAUGAGGAGGAACCAAUAAAGAUUUUGGCUCGGGAAAUUAAAUAGUUAAGAAAUAAAAGUAUAGCCUUAGUGAAAGUAUUGUGGCACAGACAUGGGAUAGAAGAGGCUAUGUAGGAACCUGAAGAAGCUAUGAGGAAACAGUACCCGAACCUCUUUACCGGUAAGAUUUUCGGGGACGAAAAUCUCUAAAGGGGGGAGAAUUGUGACAACCCGAAUUACGGCCUAAUCAGAAUAGUGGUUUUGUGACCACAAAUCCGAGAUAGAAAUAAUUGUUUUAUAAUUAUUUUGGGGUUUAUCAUAUGAUUUCAUGAUUUCGUGAAAAUUUCGUGAUGAAAUUCUAUGCAUUGAGCGCUUAAGUUGAGAUUAGGGACUAAACCGAAUAAAUUGUAAAACUCGUGUUUUAGAAGUUUUUAGUAUGAAAUUGCUUUGGGAUAUUAACUAGGAGGUCUUAAAUAGAAAUUUGACCCAUUCCUAAGUUAUGGACAAAAGUUGGACAUGGAGGGAAUUUUUGGAAAGUUUAGUAGUAAGGGCAUUUUGGUCAUUUGUAUAUUAAAUGAAAUAAAAUAGGAAAAAUAACACAAAAUUGGUCAUCAUCUUCACUAGUUGCUGCCGAAAUUUGCUCUCCUCCAUAGCUAGGAUUUCUUCAACUUUCAAGCUUCAUAGUAAGUGAUUUCAAGCCCCGUUUUUAAUGUUCUUCACAUUUUUGAAAUCCUCGUAGCUCGGUUUACUUAUUUCUACCAUUAUUUUGAGUUAGGGUUUAUGUUUAAAAAUUUACCCAUGAAUGAUAGGCAUGUAUUGUGUUGUUUGAUGGUAGAAUAUGAAUGUUUGAAGUUAGGAGAACGAUCUUUGCUAAGCGAUUUUUAACGAAAACGAGCAAAACGGCAUAAUCGAUAAAAAUACCUAUUGUUCAUAACUAUGUGUUAGAGUGAGAAUUUGAUGUUGCCAUAGAAGAGAAAAAUGAUUAGUAGGUCAUUAAACAUAAGAAUAAGGGCUGAAAUUAAAUUUUCGAGCCUUGGGGCAAAAUCGUAAUUUUGCCUCGAACGGGAGAUGGAGAAAGUUUUGGACUAAAUUGUAAAAUUCCCAUAUUUUGCACCGAGGUAAGUUUGUAUGUAAAUAAUACAUUAAUUUCAUUUACAUUCUUAUAUUUCAGCCUAUUAUAUAUAUACUAGCUGAUGUUGAAGUAUAAAUUGGCUGUGGAAGAAUGGAAAUAAGUAAUAGAGAGAGAGCUCCCGGUUGAACAUUCGGAAAGAUCGAAUAAAACAGAGGGAGCGUAGCUAGGUCACAUGUAUGGUGCUGAGUGCACAUCAUGUGUACAAGAAAGCUACGAGAUACUAUGUAGUAGCUAGGUCACAUGUGUAAUACGAGAUGUAUCCCAUGUAGACAAGAGAGCUACGUGAGAGAUAAAUGUAGCUAGGUCGCAUGCGUGAUUCCAAGUGAAGGACACCAUGUAGACAAGAGAGCUACGAGACAAAUUGGCUAAGUCGCAUGAGUGAUACUAAGUGUUCACCAUGUGUACAAGAGAGCCGAAUUAAAUAAAAUAUGAUGGUGGGGCUGUGUGCUGAAACCAUCAAGUAUCGAGGAUUAAUCUGAAUUGUUCAACGGGAUGGCUUUGUGGUGACAUUGUAGUCAUGGGCCUAUACUUGUUAUGUAUGAAAUGUGGUGAAAAUGAAUUGAUAUAUAUAUAUAUAUAUAUAUAUAUAAGUUAAAAUGAGGUUAGUACAAAGAAUGUGUGAAAGAGUGAAAUUAGCAUUAAAACUGUUUUGGACAGUAGCAGUGAUGUGAUUUUUAAAAAUCACCAAAAAUAGAAGGAAAUUUAAUUAUAGGUUGAAUUAGAUGUGAAAUUAAACCUUAAUGAGUCUAUUUUCAUAUAAAAGAAACAGAGCAAGCAAAUGAAUUCUAUAUUUUGAGAUAUUUACAAUUGUGUGUGACUUGCUCAGGAUGACUAUGUGAUCCCCUGUUCCAACUUUGAAAAAUCAUUAAAAAUUGUACAAAAAAAAUUAAGAAAUAUAGUUUAUAUUCCUAAAUUCCUUAUUGAUUCUAGGUUUAAAUGAAAUAAGUUUUAUGGUUAUUUGAAUUGUGUAUUGAGAGAAAUUCAAUUCGUAGUGAACAGAGGUCAGAUCAAUUGAGCUGUGUAACAGGGGAAACUUUAACUAAUAAACUGUAUUAAUUGGCUAAACCAAAAAUUAUAGAAAAUAAUUACUAAUAAUUUUUAUGAGUCUAGAUUCAGGGAAAUUUUACGGAUUUGAAUUUCGAGUUUUGUAACUCGAGUUAUGAUUUAUUUAGUAAUCAUGAUGCAGGAGGGACAACUUGAUCAAAUCGGAGUAAAUAGUAAAAUUAAAAAUAUGAUAUAAUUGAGUUAUGUUGUAAACAUAUUAGAUUCCUUAUUUGUUAUUUAUAUACUUACUUACUAAGCUAUAAGCUUACUUUCUUUUCUCUCCUUUGUCUUAUAGUGUCAUCCAGCUAGCACAGGAGUUAGAGAUCGUUGAAGAUCCGCCCGCACUAUCAAUACUCUUGGUAUUUGAACUCAACAUUUUGAAAUAUGGCAUGUAUAGCAAACUUAGUUAUUUUGUUACGUGUCAUAAUUGUCUAGGUUUAAAAUACUAAUUAUAGUAUCAAACUAAUCAUUUUGUACGAAGCCUUUGAAAUUGGUUUGUAUUGUUAAUGGCAUAUGUUAUAAUGAUUCAUGAUCAAAUUGCACGCCAUAUUUUUGGUUGGGUUUUAUUUAAUAGUAUAUACUAUAAUUUGUUAAUACCUCGUACCCCGUUCCGGCGACGGAUACGGGUAAGGGGUGUUACAAUUCAGCAAGAGAUGAAGGAACAGAUGAUGGAGUCUCAAAGAGAGAUGAUGAGUCAGUUGUCCCAAUUGCUGAUGGGAAGAAUGGAUAAGGGAAAAGGUCCAAUGGAUAAUAUGGGAGAAAGUAAUGAAGACCCCCAAUAUCCUCCUGGCUUCACUCCUGCACAUAUGCAGAUGCAACCAGAGAUUAAUUUGCAAAAGCCAUCUGUUACAAUCAGGCCUCAGCAGUUUCAAGCCGGGGUUUCGGUUCCAAUGAAUUUUCAAGCUGGUUCAAGUUAUAAUCCUGGUAAUAAUUCACAUAAUCCAAUGGUCCCUGAUUUGGAUGAAGUUGCAAAAGAGGAAAGAGCAAAAGCAGAAUCGCAAAGGCAGUUAGAAGAACGGUGCAAAUGGCUGGAGGAAAAGGUCAGAGCAAUGGAAGGUGGUGAUAGACACCCUGGGAUUGAUGCAAAGGAUCUGAGUUUGGUCCUAGACUUAGUACUGCCAUACAAGUUCAGGAUGCCAGAAUUUGAGAAAUACAAUGGAACGAGCUUUCCUGAAGCUCAUAUCACUAUGUUUUGCAGAAGGAUGACAGGGUAUGUUCAUAAUGAUCAAUUGCUGAUUCAUUGCUUCUAAGAUAGCCUGGUGGGAGUAGCUGCUAAAUGGUACAAUCAUUUGAAUCGAAACAGAAUUAGUUCAUGGAGAGAUUUAGCAUAGGCAUUCAUGAAGCAAUACAGCCAUGUGACAGAUAUAAUUCCCGAAAGAAUUACUCUGCAGAAUAUGGAGAAGAAGCCAAAUGAAAGUUUUAAGCAGUAUGUGCAGAGGUGGAGGGAAAUGGCCAUUCAAGUUUAGCCACCGCUCCUGGAGAAAGAAACUACGAUGCUCUUUAUUAACACCUUAAAGGCCCCGUUUAUAACUCAUAUGCUAGGAAGUGCCACGAGAAGCUUUGCGGAUGUGGUCAUGACAGGAGAAAUGAUUGAAAAUGCCAUAAAAAUGGAAGGAUAGACGCGGGAGAAAGUGCUAAAAGGUCUGUGCCACGGAAGAAAGAGAAUGAGGUGAACAAUGCGAACAUGGGAUAUUUGAAGUCUAUUACUGUGAGUCAACCAAAAGUGACAACUGUCGGACAAGGUUCAUCACGGCAAGAGUCAGGGACCAGGCAGAAUAAUGAGAAGAUUCAAUUUACACCAAUUCCUAUGACAUACAAAGAAUUAUAUCAAAGUUUGUUCGAUGCACAUGUGGUGGCACCUUUUUACUUAAAGCCAAUACAGCCUCCGUUCCCUAAAUGGUACGAUGCUAAUGCCCAACGUGAGUAUCACGCAGGAAUUGUGGGUCAUUCGAUAGAAAAUUGCACCACUUUUAAGAAGCUAGUUAAGAGAUUUAUCCAGAUGGGUAUUGUGAAAUUUGAUAAUGUGCCCAGCACUGAAAAUCCACUGCCUAAUCAUACAGAUGGAGGGGCAAAUGCGAUAGAUGGACGAUUUGGAAAAAGGACCAAGAGGAAUGUUUUGGAAGUAAAAACUCCUUUGAGGCGAGUUUGGAAGGAGAUGGCAAGAAGGGGAUUAGUUACUUCAAGCACAGAAGGAAAUGAUAAUGGGAUGAAAAAUUAUUGUGAUUACCAUCAUGAAGAAGGACACAGAAUUCAGGAAUGUGAAAAAUUUAGAGCUGUUAUUCAGGGUCUGAUGGACAACAAGGAAAUGGAGUUUUAUGAGAAGGACAAUGAGGAAGAGUAUAUAUGUGCUUCAGAGUCCACAUCAAGACCAAGAACAAAUUAUCCUGUGGUUAUUAUCUCGCGUCCUAAGAAUGAAGCAGGAGUUCAAAUGGCGCCAAAGGUUAUAAUUCAGAAGCCAGCAGUUUUUUCUUACAAUGAUAGUAAAUAGGUGCCCUAGAACUAUGAAUGUAAUGUGACAAUCCUGGGAAAAGAAGGUGCAAUUAGCCCGUUAAAGGAGGAUCAAAAUAUAGGUUCUCAUACACGCAGUGGAAGGCGAUAUGAUACCCGAACAGAACGGGUGAAAGAAAGAGAGGUGCUGGUUGAGCAAAAGAAAGGAAAAGCAGUUGAGCUUGAUGUGCUUGUUAAUGAACCAGUGAAAGAAGAAGAAGCUAAGGAAUUCUUGAAAUUUCUGAAACAUAGCGAGUACAGUGUGGUGGAGUAGUUGCGUAAAUAGCCGGCCCGCAUAUCUAUAUUGGCUCUACUCCUGAGUUCAGAGAUGCAUCUGAGUGCAUUGAUGAAGGUGCUAAAUGAGACAUAUGUAACCAAUGAUAUUUCUGUCAGUAAGCUGGAUUGGUUGGUUAACAACAUAAGUGCAGACAACUUUAUCUUUUUCAAUGAUGAUGAGAUUCCACUAGGAGGGAUGGGAUCUACCAAAGCUUUGCAUAUAACUACCAGACGUAAAGGAUACACGCUGCCAGGGGUAUUGGUAGAUAACGAUUCAGCAUUGAAUGUGUUGCCUUUGUCCACACUGAACAAGUUACUUGUGGAUAGUUCUCAUAUGAAAGGAUGUCAGAAUAUAGUACGAGCAUUUGAUGGCACAGAGAGGAGAGUCAUGGGGAGAAUUGAGGUACCCUUGUUAAUUGGCCCAACCACGUAUGAGGUAGAUUUUCUAGUAAUGGAUAUUAAGUCCUCUUACAACUGCUUGUUGGAAAGACCUUGGAUACACCCAGCAAGGGCAGUACCUUAAUCAUUACAUCAAAAGCUGAAGCUAGUGUCAGAGGGGCGGUUGCUAACAAUAAAUGCUGAAUAAGAUAUUAUCGUGACCAUAAGCAGUCAUGCGCCUUAUGUAGAAACAGAUGAGGAAGCUAUUGAGUGUUCUUUUCGGUCUUUGGAGUUUGUAAAUGCAACAUUCAUCACUGAGGGAAGUAGAAUUCUGAAGCCCCAAAUGUCCAAAACUACUAUGAUGGGUUUACAGUUGAUGGUAGGCCGGGGAGCUGUACCAGGAAAAGGACAUGGAAGAUGCCUUCAAGGAGGAAUUGUAGUUCCAAUGCUGAAAGACAAACAGGAUCGUUUUGGUUUGGGGUUCAAGCUAGAUGCAAGACAAAGGAAGAAGGAACUAGAAAGAAGACAAGAAAGAAGAAAAGCACGAGUGAGUGGUGGGGAAAUCAAAUGGGAACCCAUGAUAAUUCCUCAUAUCUCCAAGACUUUUGUGUCAGGGGGCAUUAUUUAUCCUGAACGGGGGAUGUUGGAGAAAGAAAGCAUGGAAGAAGCAUUGGGAGAUAUGUACAUCAAUGCCAUAUCUGAGGAGACAAUUGAAGAGGGGAUUUCGUCAAAUAUUCGUCCAUAUGAGCCCGGGAGUGUUCUAAACAAUUGGACUGCAGAAGAUCUUCCUGUAGUUUUUAGAGCUUACUUAGAGUAAUGUUCGAAACAAACUUGUUGUUUUAAGCCUAGAAACAAUAAAUAUUUCUUUGUGAAAUAGGCUCAUGUUCAAACAUCAUUAUUUCUAUGAAGUACAUUUUUUGCUAUCAUUUUGAGUAAAUGUUGUUCGUUUCAUAAGCAAUUGUGUUAAUUCUUUCUAUCUAAAUAAUUAUCUUGAUUAUUUCUUCAACUAUUCUCUUGUUCAUAAACAUAUCAUACAAAGCAAUAAUUACCAAAUUCAUUCAUUCUUUGUAUAUUUCUAUACAUUUAAUAGGUCCCUAGAUAUCAAUGUCAUGAGCGACGCUAUUACUGACUCAGAAUCACUAUUUGAGCGAGACAUGUGUUUAGAGGGAUCUCAAGACUUUGAAAAUGACAGAGAUUGUGAUUUAUCUCCAGAUUUGUUAAGGAUGGUAGAAUAAGAGGAAAAGCAAAUUUUGCCUCACAAAGAAACCGUAGACAUGGUGACUUUGGAGGAGGGGAAAGUUGUAAAAAUUGGAACAUGCAUAACUGAAGAAAAAAAGCGAGACCUUGUUGGGUUACUUCAGGAAUUCAAAGAUGUUUUUACAUGGUCAUACCAGGAUAUGCCCUGUUUAAGUCUUAACAUUGCGGUGCAUUGUCUUCCCAUAAGAGAAGAUUGCAAGCCAGUAUAGCAGAAGCUUCAACGAAUGAGGCCAGAUAUCGUCUUAAAGAUCAAUGAGGAAGUCAAAAAGUAGUUUGAUGCAGGAUUCCUUCAGGUGAUCAAGUACUCAGAAUGGGUAGCCAAUGUUGUGCCUAUUCCCAAGAAAGAUGGCAAGGUGCGAAUGUGUGUGGACUAUAGAGAUCUAAAUAAAGUGUGAGCCCAAAGGACAACUUCCCUUUGCCUCACAUUGAUACACUAGUGGAUAAUACGGCUGGUUACUCAUUGUUUUCCUUCAUGGAUGGUUUCUCGGGGUAUAAUCAGAUCAAGAUGCAUCCUGAGGACAUGGGAAAGACUACUUUUAUAACAUUGUGGGGCACGUUCUGUUACAAGGUAAUGCCAUUUGGAUUGAAGAAUGGUGGAGCGACAUAUCAGAGAGCUAUGAUAACUUUAUUCCAUGAUAUGAUGCACAAAGAAAUUGAAGUGUAUGUUGACGACAUGAUAGCCAAAUCUCGAACUGAAAGGGAACAUAUUGAAGUAUUAAGAAAGUUGUUCAUGAGAUUGAGAAAGUUUCAGUUAAUGCUUAAUCUCACGAAGUGUACUUUUGGGGCUAGAUCCGGAAAGCUAUUGGGCUUUGUGGUUAGUGAGAAGGGAAUUGAGGUUGAUUCAGACAAGGUCCGGGCUAUACAAGAGUUGUCUCCACCACGUACCUAAAAAGAAGUUCGGUGUUUCCUCGGAAGAUUAAAUUACAUUGCGCGGUUUAUUUCUCAAUUAAUGGAGAAGUGUGACCCUAUAUUCCGUCUUUUUAAAAAGCAUAACCCAGGGGAAUGGGAUGAUUAAUGUCAAAAGGCUUUUGAUAAAGUUAAAGAAUAUUUGUCAAGUCCUCUAUUGUUAUCACCCCCAAGUUCAGACAGGCCGUUGAUAUUGUAUUUGACCAUGUUUGGUAAUUCAAUGGGAUGUGUGCUUGGUCAACAUGACGAAUCAGGAAGAAAGGAAAAGGCGAUAUAUUACCUCAGUAAGAAAUUCACUGAAUGUGAGUUGAGAUAUUCGCCAAUUGAAAAAUUGUGUUGUGCUUUGGUUUGGACAACACGAAGAUUGAGGCAAUAUAUGCUGUAUCAUACAACCUGGCUAAUCUCAAAAUUGGAUCAUUUAAAGUAUAUGAUGGAAUCAAAUGCCUUGAAUGGAAGGAUGGCUAGGUGGAAAAUUUUGCUUUCUGAAUUUGACAUAAUUUACAUGAGUCAAAAAGCUGUAAAGGGGAGUGCAAUAGCAAAUUUUCUGGCUAGCCGAGCUUUAGAAGAUUAUGAACCUUUGAAUUUUGAUUUCCCUAAUGAAGAGAUAGUGUAUGUGGCGGCUGCUGAAGAGGACAACACAAAAGGUAACUGUUGGAAAUUGAAUUUUGACGGAGCCUCAAAUGUUGUGGGUAAUGGAGUUGGGGCAGUUCUAGUAUCCCCAGAUGGAGAUCAUUAUCCAUUCACAUGUAAAUUGGAUUUUGAUUGUAGGAAUAAUAUGGUAGAAUAUGAAGCAUGUAUCAUGGGGCUGAGAGCAGCUAUAGAACGCAAGAUCAAAUCAUUGGAAGUAUAUGGUGAUUAUGCAUUGGUGAUUUAUCAACUUCGAGGUGAAUGGGAGACAAGAGACGCUAAGCUAAUCAAUUAUAGAAGGUUGGUUUUGGGGUUAGUUGAAGAGUUUGAUGAUAUUACUUUUAAUUAUCUCUCGCGUAAUGAAAACCAAAUGACAGAUGCUUUGACUACUUUGGCUUCCAUGAUCAAAGUAAGCAAACAGGAUGAUAUGAAGCCCAUUCGGAUGAGUAUUUAUGAAGCCCCGUCUUAUUGUUAUAAUAUAGAGGAAGAAGAAAGAGAUGAUCAUCCUUGGUAUUAGGAUAUAUUGCGGUAUGUGAGAAAUCGUGAGUAUCCGGAUCAAGCCACGGAUAAUGACAAAAGAACAUUGAGAAGGCUCGCUUGUGAUUAUGUUUUAGAUGGAGAGAUCUUAUACAAAAGAAGGAAAGAUCAGGUACUUUUGAGAUGCGUGGAUGCCGUUGAGUCCAAGAAAAUCUUGGAAGAAGUGCACGAAGGUGUUUGUGGAACACACGCCAAUGGGUUUACAAUGGCCAGACAAAUUAUGAGGUUUGGGUAUUAUUAGUCCACCAUGGAAGGGGACUGCAUCAAUUAUGCUAAGAAAUGUCACAAAUGUCAAAUUUAUGGUGAUAAGAUUCAUGUACCUCCCUCGUCCUUGCAUGUUAUGACUUCUCAAUGGCCAUUUUCCAUGUGGGGCAUGGAUGUCAUAGGGCCAAUUUCACCUAAGGCUUCAAAUGGGCAUCGUUUCAUUUUUGUGGUCAUUGAUUAUUUUACCAAGUGGGUGGAAGCUGCUUCGUAUGCCAACGUAACUAAAUUGACAGUUAGUAGAUUCUUAAAGAAGGAAAUUAUAUAUCGAUACGGAAUGCCUGAGAAAAUCAUAUCCGAUAAUGCACUGAAUCUGAACAAUAGUACAAUAGCAGAGGUCUAUAGUCAGUUUAAAAUCAGACAUCAUAACUCAUCACCAUAUCGUCCAAAGAUGAAUGGGGCAGUGGAAGUAGCUAACAAAAAUAUCAAGAAGAUUAUGGGGAAAAUGACCGAAACUUACAAAGAUUGGCAUGAAAAGUUGCCAUUUGCUCUUUAUGCUUAUCGAACAUCUGUCAGAACUUUUACUGGGGCAACACUGUUCUCAUUGGUCUAUGGAAGGGAAGCAGUUCUGCCCAUUGAAGUGGAGAUACCUUCUCUUCGAGUUUUGUCAAAAUUGAAGUUAGAUGAAGCAGAAUGGAUACAGUCUCGAUAUGAUCAGUUGAAUUUGAUUGAGGAAAAGAGGUUAAAAGCUAUUCAACAUGGACAGAUGUAUCAAAAAAGAAUGAUACGGGCUUAUGACAAAAAGGUUCGCCCAAGAGAGUUUCAUGAGGGAGAUUUGGUUUUGAAGAAGAUUCUUCCCAUACAAAAAGAUUUCAGAGGUAAAUGGAUGCCGAAUUGGGAGGGGCCCUAUGUGGUGAAGAAAGCUUUCUCUGGUGGUGCAUUAAUACUGGCCGAAAUGGAUGGAAGAAAUUUAUCUAAUCCAGUGAACUUGGAUGCAGUCAAAAAAGUACUACACUUGACAAGGGAGGGAAGCCAAAGUGAAAACCCGUAAAGGGCGCUUUGAGACUUCCAAAAAAAAAACCCGUAAAGGGCGCUUUGAGACUUCCAAAAAAAAAUAAAGGGGCCAAAGUGAAAACCCGCAAAGGGCACUUUGAUACUCAAAUAAAAAUGGAAAGGGCCAAAGUGAAAACCCGCAAAGGGUGCUUUGAGACCCAAUAAUAAAAAAGAAAGAAAAAGAGAAAAAGGAGAGGCCAAGGUGAAAACCCGUAAAGGGCGCCUUGUGACCAAAGGGGAUUUGAGUUGAAAACCCGAAAAGGGCGGCUCAGAUAUGGAUCCAAAGUGAGGAGACUGUGAUCUUGAUAUACUUGAAUUAAUCAUGAAGGGAAUAUGGUACAUCUUGGGGCAUUGACAAAGUGCUUCUGAUCUCUUAAACACAUGUUGAGUUUGAAUUAGUCUUCAAGAAGUUUGUACAGAGAAGCUCAGGUUGCGAUAACAAGCAUGCCUAGUCUUCAUUUUCAAUAAAUUGGUUAUCUUUAUCCUUUCUUUUUCAAGAUAUACAUUCUUAAAUUAAUGGCCAUUAUUGUUCUUUUGAUAAUUUACUUUGAAUUCAGGAUUAAUUUCCAUUCUUGUUCAUUAUCACGAUUUGAUUGCAAGCAUGUUGCAUUGACAUAAUGAUGAAUGAACUAGUGAUGUUUUCACAAUAGAAGUUUUGCAUAUUACUCUAAGAGUUUCUAGAUAAUGCAAGAAUCUGAAGUGAGAUAAUUGUUUAGAAUACGCUCAAGUUCAAGGAAAUAUUUGGAUAAAUCGCCUUUUUGAGGUCUCUGUCCAAAUAAUUAUAGUAUUUUUUAGAGGAAAAAGAAAUGACAUUUUGUAUUCAUACAAAGAACAAAAAAAAUGCAUAUUUGGCUAUAACACCUGAAGAAUGAGGUAGCAAAUUGACCAAGAGGAAAAUUCAACUUUGAGUUGCAAUGUUUUGUCUCAAAAAGAAUAGUAGAAGGGACGUUGGAAUUACAGUGGGGUAAGCUCGCUAAAAGGGAUAUCUUGUUUCUUUGGGAUACUCUGUUAGGAUGACGGUUUAGCAAAGGCGUCAGUAACAGCAUAUUAAUGAGCAACGGGUGACGAUGCCCUAAAUUGUUAAAAUGGAAUCAUCUUUAUUUCUGCAUGUAUCAUUUAGUUAGGAGUAUUUGAUUCAUUUUGAUCAUAGCACCCUAAUUAUUUGACAUAAGCAUCACAUUUAGUUAGGAGCAUUUGAUUCAUUUCGAUCAUAGCAUCCUAAUUAUUUGGCAUAAGCAUGUGCAUAUAAAAUGGAGUCUACAGGAUAGGUCCCCCGGAGGGCAAUGUAGCAACAUUGGUAAAGAUUGAAGAUCUUAUCUCCCUGAAGUUGCAGUGGAGUAGAUCCUUGUAGAUGGUGAAUCUUAUCUUCAUGUAUCAGCAAUGGAGUAUAUUUUACCAUCAAACCUUAUCUCUCUGAGGUAGCAAGAAAGCAGGUUGAAGAAUGAGUCUUAUUUUCCUGAGGUAGCAAGGAAGCAGACUGAGAAUUGAAGAUUUUAUCUCCCUGAAGUUACAGCAGAGCAGAUCUUCGCAGAUGGUGAAUCUUAUCUCCAUGUAUCAGUAAUGGAGCAGAUUUUACCACCAAGCCUUGUCUCUCUGAGGUGGCAAGAGAGCAGGUUGAAGAAUGAGUCUUAUCUUCUUAAGGUAGCAAGGAAGCAGACUGAGAAUUGAAGAUUUUAUCUCCCUGAAGUUGCAGCGGAGCAGAUUUUCAUAAAUGGUGAAUCUUAUCUCCAUGUAUCAGCAAUGGAGCAGAUUUUACCACCAAGCCUUGUCUCUCUGAGGUGGCAAGAGAGCAGGUUGAAGAAUGAGUCUUAUCUUCCUGAGGUAGCGAGGAAGCAGACUAAGAAUUGAAGAUUUUAUCUCCCUGAAGUUGCAGUGGAACAGAUUUUCACAAAUGGUGAAUCUUAUCUCCAUGUAUCAGCAAUGGAGCAGAUUUUACCACUAAGCCUUGUCUCUCUGAGGUGGCAAGAGAACAAGUUGAAUAAUGAGUCUUAUCUUCCUGAGGUAGUAAGGAAGCAGACUGAGAAUUAAAAAUUUUAUCUCUCUGAAGUUGCAGCAGAGCAGAUCUUCACAGAUGGUGAAUUUUAUCUCCAUGUAUCAGCAAUGGAGUAGAUUUUACUACCAAGCCUUAUCUCUCUGAAGUAGUAGGAGAGCAAGUUGAAGAAUGAGUCUUAUCUUCCUGAGGUAGCAAGGAAGCAGACUGAGAAUUGAAGAUUUUAUCUCCCUGAAGUCGUAGAGGAGUAGAUCUUCACAAAUGGUGAAUCUUAUAUCCAUGUAUUGGCAAUGGAGCAGAUUUUACCUCCAACCUCAUCUCUCUGAGGUAGUAAGGGAGCAGGUUGAAGAAUGAGUCUUCCUGAAGUAGCAAGGAAGUAGACUGAGGGUUGAGGAUCUUAUCUCCCCGAAAUGGCAGUGGAGCAUAUUGAAAAUGAAAUUUUAUCUCCAUGUAUCGGCAAUGGAGCAGAUUUAAUCUCAUCUUCCUAAAGGUAUUUGGAAAAAAGAAGCAGCAAAAAGCUGAAAUUUAACAAGACCGAGCAAAAUCGAUUCUUUUGAAGUCUUUGCUCUACUCCCGUUACACGUCAAUGAGCAAAGAGGGGCAACUAUAGUCAACCAAUUUUGCCCGGGCCCAUUUAAUUUAUUUGCAAAUAAUAAACCCGAAUAAAUAAAUAAAAUCCAAAGACUAAAUAGUCCAGUAAAGUCCCUUUACAAUUUUCAAAAUGCAUGUACCAAAAUAACUCAUGACCCAACAAAUUUUAAAACCCAAUUCUAUAAACCCAGGCCCUAAAUCUAGCCCAAACCCGAAAAAGCCCAAAAAGGAAAAGUAUUCCAGCAGCCAAGCACCAGAAGCUUCUGGAACGUGCCAGAACAGUGCCAGGGAGUUGGGUUUCACGAGCGGAUUCCUCGCACGGUUUCGUUCAAGCGUGCUUCUCCCCGUUUCUCCGUACGGCCAUUGCUCCAUACCUGCAAAAGAAUGUACGAGAGGAAGCAGCAACAGAAUGUACAGCCAAAUGACAGAGGGAAAAUGUAUUUUUAUUUUUCAUUUAUUCUGUAAAUUUGGGCUAUAAAAGCCAUUAUUUGUACCUUGAUUUUUUACACACACACAGAAUAUAUUAUACGCAUACAAUAUCUGUACACACGUACAGAGAAGAGAGAAAAGCGAUUUAAGAUCAAUAGAGGUGAUUUCAUUUUUUUUCUCUUCCGAUUUUUUUUCGUUUUUUCUUUUCUCUUUAUUUUCUUAUUUGUUUGCUCAUUUUUUAUGCAACUUAAGGCCAACUAAAGCCCUAAAUCUGCCAUGCGAAUAUGGGCGAGAGGUCACAUAAUAGUGGAAAUCUAUUCAUUUUACAAAUCUGUCUUCAUUUUUUUUCUUUAAAAAAUAACAUGAGAUUUGAAAGCUCCAUUCAAAUAAAGAAGAAAAAAGGGAAAAUACUUAUCGAAUCCUUUUAGAUCUGGUCGAGCUCCUUUAACGGCAAGAUUGGGCAUGUCUCGCUUACUGGUAAUCACCUAAAAGCAUGGUGGUUUGGUAGUCAAGUGAAGAAAACCCUAAAAAAAUUGAAUUUAAAGGCUAGAAUUUCUUUUGAUCUAAGUGGGGAUUGUGUUUGAGGAAUGAAACAGAAGAUGAUAGGUCUUAAAUGACCAGGUAACUAUGCGGCACCGUUUCAAAGCGCAAAGACUCACGCGUCAACCUGUUUUGGUAGGCCCGGUAUGCGCAUGGUUAGGGUGAAUGGGGAAAUUGCGCGACGGAUCCCUCCCCUUUGCGCCAAGUCCUCAAUUUUCGCCUGAUUCGCCUAUUUUAUGUUUUAAAAUUGGCCCGUUAGUUUGUAUAUGGUUUCAAUUGGAUCCGUGGUUUAUUGCUGCAUUGUGAGCAUGGGAUAUUUUCAAUGCUAGUCCUCACAUGUUUGUGCGCAUGGCACAUUGAUUCUAUUUUGUAAUUAUUUUAUUUGUAAAUUGUUUCUCCUGUUUUAAUUUUGUUUCAAU